rnacentral:misc_RNA from 1 species
GUUCAAACAAACGCAAGCCUGUGCAGAAAGUAAAGAUCUAGGAAUGACUGCAUAACUAUAUUAAUUUUUGAGAUCCUAACUUAGUGAAGAAAAGCAAGAGAUUAUACCCAAUUCACCUUUUAUUGUUGAAUUCAAAGAUAUUUAAAUACAAAAUAAAAGAAAAUCUGACAGUCUGGUUUUGGCUACAAAAUUGAUUUUUUUUUCCAAAGCUGACUUCUUUUAUCGAGAGACACUCUUUGUUGACGAUAAAAGCAAUGCUCCGUGUUGAGUUGUAUGAGAUAAGCCAUAAUUUGGGUCAGCUCUAAUCCUAAUAAAUACCACGUGAAGCGCGUGAUCCCCCAGAUUUCUAUGCGCCUACUUUUACAAAGAAAGACAACCUCAACAAAAAAUGACCAAAUCAUACCUUUAAUUCCUUUUUGAGUAAAAAAAGAUGACUGAAUCAUAUUAUUUUCCCUCUUGAAUCAAG